AGCUGGUCCGAGUGCAGUGGUGUUUACAACUAAUUGAUCACAGCCAGUUACAGAUUUGUUACUUCUUCACUCCCACUGCUUCACUUGACUAGCCUAAA
ensembl:Y_RNA Y_RNA Y RNA